GAAGAGGCACAGACCAUAUGUUUGAAUAGAUACAAAACCAAGUAUGUUGUGAAUGGGAUGCACUGAGGAAGAUUUACAGAAGUGUCCAAUCUGAUUUUCAGUAUCAGGCUAGUCCUUUUUGAGAAAGUUACCUCUAAACUGAGAUCAAAGGGUGGUUUGGAUUAAUCUAAGCAAAGAGAGGGAAAAGACAUAUUUCAGAGAUAUGGGAACAGCAUGCAUAGAAGCAAAGAGAUAAGGGGCUGUGGGCAUAGCACAUAUCCCCAAGGAUCACAUAGAGAAUAUGGGUUUUAUUUUAAAAGCAAAGGGAAGUCACUUAAUGAUCUCAUUGUAGCAUAACUUGUCUCUCCUAUCGGAUUGUAAACUCCACGAGGCUAGAAACCAAAAUGAACAUGUUGUUACCUCUCUUACAGCACCAGAUACCAUGAUUUGUUAAUUAAAUAUUUGCUUGCUGGAAUGUCCUAAGUUAAAGAGUGAGCAGAAGUACUUCAUGAGUACUUUUUCACUAUUUUUCCCAAGCUUGAAUGGCCUUUGAACUGCAUGAAGAAUAGAAUGUUAACUGUGUUCCACCAAACUAGGAUAUUACAAUGAUGCUGGUGAAUGUUUCAUGUAGCUCUUGGCUGCCGUUUCACAUAAGGAAAAACAAAUAGAAAGACCUCAGGGCAGUCCAGUGAGCAUUCUUCAUGAAAGGAAAAAUACAAAAACAUUCUGAUGACAGGAUCAGCGAAUCUAGGGAUCUUCAAACAUUUAUGUUCCCAUGGCCCCUAAAGAUAUUUGGAAA